rnacentral:rRNA from 1 species
CGAGCUUUCGCAAUGUUUAAAUCAGCGAAGGUAGAGAUCAAAAAAGAGCAUCAAGUGUUGAUGGUUAAUAAGACCACUAGUUUUAAUAAAAAGGGCAAGGGAAAGAAAGGGAACUUCAAGAAGAAUGGCAAGCAAGUUGCCACUCCCAUGAAGAAGCCCAAAACUGGACCUAAGCCUAAAGCUGAGUGUUUCUACUGCAAAGGGAAUGGUCACUGGAAGCGGAACUGCCCCAAAUAUUUGGCGGAUAAGAAGGAUGGCAAAGUGAACAAAGGUAUAUUUGAUAUACAUGUUAUUGAUGUGUACUUUACUAGUGUCCAUAGUAGCCCAUGGGUAUUUGAUACC